rnacentral:rRNA from 1 species
CAGACUUGACAUCCUGUGAACCUCUUAGAAAUAAGAGGGUGCCUUCGGGAGCACAGAGACAGGUGCUGCAUGGCUGUCGUCAGCUCGUGUCGUGAGAUGUUCGGUUAAGUCCGGCAACGAGCGCAACCCUUGUCUUCAGUUGCCAGCACGUAAAGGUGGGAACUCUGAAGAGACUGCCCCGGUUAACGGGGAGGAAGGUGGGGAUGACGUCAAGUCCUCAUGGCCCUUAUGUCUGGGGCUACACACGUGCUACAAUGGUUAGGACAAUGAGAAGCGAUACCGCGAGGUGGAGCAAAUCUAUAAACCUAAUCUCAGUUCGGAUAGCAGUCUGCAACUCGACUGCUUGAAGCUGGAAUCACUAGUAAUCGUAAAUCAGCUAUGUUACGGUGAAUACGUUCCCGGGUCU